UACGAAGGGAGCUAGCGUUGUUCGGAAUCACUGGGCGUAAAGCGCACGUAGGCGGAUGUGUCAGUCAGGGGUGAAAUCCUGGAGCUCAACUCCAGAACUGCCUUUGAUACUGAAGAUCUUGAGUUCGGGAGAGGUGAGUGGAACUGCGAGUGUAGGGGUGAAAUUCGUAGAUAUUCGCAAGAACACCAGUGGCGAAGGCGGCUCACUGGCCCGGUACUGACGCUGAGGUGCGAAAGCGUGGGGAGCAAACAGG
rnacentral:rRNA from 1 species